rnacentral:rRNA from 1 species
AUGUGUAUGGAGAAGUGUUGGAAUAAUUCUUUUCGAGAACAUAGUUAUAGGAAUAGUUUUCUUUUGGCAAAGGGAAAAUACUUUUCAUACUCCGUCAAUACUCGGCUACACACUCUGAUACGCCAUCUCCCUCAUUGGGUGAGCGAAAAGCCAUUGAUUGGAGGGAUUAGUUGUGUUGCUAUUGAUCGAGGCCAACAAUGGGGCAGAGUUCCAGAGGUGUUGGUGCUUUACCAAGCAGGCGCGGUGUGGCCACCAACCAGAUCUGGGUGUGUCUGUGUGUGGAGGAGGGAUAGGAUGGGGAUAGUGGAAGCUUGUGAAGGUGCUUUCUACUUUGUAAAUGCUAAUAAUACUUAUUUACUUGGGCAAUGA